GGUGGGCCCUAGCCUUCACUUUUAUAAACUACUCCCUGGAGACCCUCUAGGUAAGUCCCAGGAGAUGAAACUAAGUGUAGACGUCUAAAUCCCCAUUAGGUACAUAGCGGAACAGGGACUCUGCUCUCUCAUCAUCAUGGACUCUCUAACACAAGACUCAAGAUCUUCUUCCCUCUCUCAUUUUGCUUUCUUCUAUUUAGAACCUUUUUUGUUCUAUUGAAGUAGACUGACUUAAAUAUCGAAAGUUCCUUAUAGGAAA
rnacentral:lncRNA from 1 species